GAUGAACGCUGGCGGCGUGCCUAAUACAUGCAAGUCGAGCGAACGGACGAGAAGCUUGCUUCUCUGAUGUUAGCGGCGGACGGGUGAGUAACACGUGGAUAACCUACCUAUAAGACUGGGAUAACUUCGGGAAACCGGAGCUAAUACCGGAUGAUAUUUUGAACCGCAUGGUUCAAAAGUGAAAGACGGUCUUGCUGUCACUUAUAGAUGGAUCCGCGCUGCAUUAGCUAGUUGGUAAGGUAACGGCUUACCAAGGCAACGAUGCAUAGCCGACCUGAGAGGGUGAUCGGCCACACUGGAACUGAGACACGGUCCAGACUCCUUCGGGAGGCAGCAGUAGGGAAUCUUCCGCAAUGGGCGAAAGCCUGACGGAGCAACGCCGCGUGAGUGAUGAAGGUCUUCGGAUCGUAAAACUCUGUUAUUAGGGAAGAACAUAUGUGUAAGUAACUGUGCACAUCUUGACGGUACCUAAUCAGAAAGCCACGGCUAACUGCGUG
rnacentral:rRNA from 1 species